AUUUUACCUCAUAAAUGUUAAUAAACAAUCUUUAAUGAAACGAGCUUCAGUAUUUAUUUGGUACCUACUAUGGACUGGGCAUCAUACAGGAAGGGCGAGGAGGCAUAGGGAUGUAAUGGGAAGAGAAAAGAUGCAAGAUCUACUCCUUGUCCUUGAAGAAUUACAAUCUCUACUGAAGACCCCAUCUGUAUGCACAUUGAUUUUGGAAGCAGUGGAAAUAACUCACGUAUAACCUCCCUAAUGGCAAGAUAUGAAAUGGAGAUAUUUUGCUAGGAGGUGGUUAAGAUUUUUGGCAGCUAGUGGGCAAUAUGAUUCUUCAGAGGAAGGAGAGGAAGCAUUGGCUGGCACAACCAGAAAAAGCUUCAUGGAGAGAGUGGAAUCUGAAUUGGCCCUGAUGGGUAGAGGGUGCUCACCUGUGUACAGCUGGCAGCAGGAAGGAUGCACUUGGAGCAUGCGCCAAUGAUCAACAGCAGGAAAGAACAGAAUGCAAGCUCCCACAUGUCUGAGCCAUCUCAUCUAACCUGCCUAAACCAUCUCCAUAAUGCUUUCUGUCCCCACGUUGCCCUUAUUUUCAACCAUGCCCACAUGAGUCUCCUUGGCACGCAUGAAGCCUUCAUGAAAGGCACCCUCACUGUUCUUGAAUUGUAACAGGGUGGUCCCCAGGAAAGGGGGAGGUUCCAGGUUCCCUGCCCCACCCAAAGGAAGGUGUAGCUGAGCAGGGAGAGAAGCUGCUGCAGAGGAGACUAAGGAAGGAAGGAAGAAGGAUGGAGAACCAGAAGGAGACCUGGAGGAGGCACAUGGAGCCGAGAUACAUGUGAAGAAACUGCACUUGCCUUUUGGUCAUCGACUGGGUGACACAGAUGUGGAUAAUACAAGGAGUUCAACACAGCCAUCUGAUGCUGGAAAGGAACUGGCUUGCCUUCACUUGGUUGAAUUUGGACUUACAGUACGUAUUUGCAAAUGAUGCAGAAUCCCAAAGAUUUAAGCCUGGUACUCAGACUAGCUGAUGAUCUACAUUCUCAGUGACAUCCACCUCUGAG